GAUAACCGAAGAUCACAGCGGGGUUCAGAGUUGGGUUCGUAAUGACCCGCACGUCACCGCCACCGGGUGCCCAGGUGUCAUACACGCCACCAAAGAACAUGGCUUUGAGCACCAGCAACAAGGCACCCAAUCCGAGAACGAUUAGGUGGAAACCUAAGAUGGUGGUCAUCUUGUUCUUGUCGCGCCA
rnacentral:antisense_RNA from 1 species